UCAAAUGAUGAACAACCCUAUAAUUAUUAACUUUCGUUCUACCGAAAAUCCCGUGUAGAAAUAUUAUAACUGAUU
rnacentral:snoRNA from 1 species